UACGUAGGGGGCAAGCGUUGUCCGGAUUUAUUGGGCGUAAAGAGCGUGUAGGCGGCCAGAUAGGUCAGCUGUGAAAACUCGAGGCUCAACCUCGAGACGUCGGUUGAAACCAUCUGGCUAGAGUCCGGAAGAGGAGAGUGGAAUUCCCGGUGUAGCGGUGAAAUGCGCAGAUAUCGGGAAGAACGCCCGUGGCGAAGGCGGCUCUCUGGGACGGUACUGACGCUGAGACGCGAAAGCGUGGGGAGCGAACAGG
rnacentral:rRNA from 1 species